UUAGUCCUAACCUUACCGUUAAUUUUUGCUAAACAUAUACAUGCAAGUAUCCGCGCUCCAGUGUAAAUACCCUCAAAGUCUUAUCAAGACUCAAGGAGUGGGCAUCAGGCACACUCACAAUUGUAGCCCAAGACGCCUUGCUCAGCCACGCCCCCACGGGUACUCAGCAGUAAUUAACAUUAAGCAAUAAGUGUAAACUUGACUUAGUUAUAGCAACCCUCAGGGUUGGUCAAUCUUGUGCCAGCCACCGCGGUCACACAAGAAACCCAAAUUAACUGUAAUACGGCGUAAAGCGUGACAUUAUGCUAUCUCCCUAGCUAGGAUCAAAAUACAACUAAGCCGUCAUAAGCCCAUGAUGUACCCAAAACCAACCUAAAAACGAUCCCAGCCCUAAUGAUCAAUUAACCGUCACGAAAGCUAGAAUACAAACUGGGAUUAGAUACCCCACUAUGCCUAGCCCUAAAUCCUGAUACUUCCCCCACCAAAGUAUUCGCCCGAGAACUACGAGCACAAACGCUUAAAACUCUAAG
rnacentral:rRNA from 1 species